AAGAAGUUACAUCCCUGAAGGUGGAAACGCAGGAUAAUAACGUGAUAUCAGUAACUUGUGAAAAUUUGAAACUUAAUGGGAAUCUUAAGCAUUUCACUGCAACUCUGUUUAACGGUGCGGGCGAGCACAAGAAGGUUGUAGAAAGAACAUGCAAGUUUGAAUUCAAAGAUCUGAGCUACUCAACGAAAUACACUGUGGAGGUGAUUGUUUGCAAUCAAAAACUUUGCAGCGAACUCAAGGAGGGAUCUGCUACCACUUCCUAUAAUGAAAAAGCUGUCAUUGGCUUUCUGGUCUUCAUCAUCAUCAUCAUCAUCAUUACGCCAUUGGCUCUGAUUUUGAUCUACAUCCGAAGGCGCAUAAAGUCCAGAAGUGAAGAUGUGUCGCUUGGACUAAAUGCCAUUUAUGCGAAUAUCCCUCGAUCUGACAACGUACGCUGAUGAAGAACCUCCCACCAAACCCAUGUAAAUUGUUGCUUCGCUAGCAUUAGGUGUGUCUGUUAAAGAUAAGAUAAUGUGUUGCUUGACGGUGCUCCAAGGACUUUGGUUAAACACAUUAUGAGGUUACAUUGUGAGACAAGAGACCUAAAGCAAUCAAGAGUUUAUAAAAAAACGUA